CCGAACGCAAAACCAUUGCAUUCUGGUUUGCGCACUUCAUCAUGGGUUCCGGCACAACGCAGGUGUCAGCAGUCAGCAGCAGCAUCCAUCGGCAUGCAGUAACGUCAUUCAUUAUCUUCCGUAUGACAACCAUCAUUUCCCUCCAUUCUCGUCGAUGGCUUCAUCAGCAAUGCAACAUCUACUCGCAAAAUUCAAGAAAAUCUCGUUUCAAUAGCAUAUCAUACGCGUUAGGGAGAACUGGAGAUUAGGAAUCCUAUAGACUGGACAGAAGACCGGAACUUCAAAACUUGCUAUACCAUUAAUAUGACCCC
rnacentral:sRNA from 1 species